CCUACGGGAGGCAGCAGUGGGGAAUAUUGGGCAAUGGGCGAAAGCCUGACCCAGCAACGCCGCGUGAAGGAAGAAGGCUUUCGGGUUGUAAACUUCUUUUGACAGGGAAGAGCAGAAGACGGUACCUGUCGAAUAAGCCACGGCUAACUACGUGCCAGCAGCCGCGGUAAUACGUAGGUGGCAAGCGUUGUCCGGAUUUACUGGGUGUAAAGGGCGUGUAGCCGGGCUGACAAGUCAGUUGUGAAAUCCGGGGGCUCAACCCCCGAACUGGAUUGGAAACUGUUGGUCUUGGGGAUCGGGGAGCCAGGCGGAAUUCUUAGUGUAGCGGUGAAAGGGGUAGAUAUUAGGAGGAACACCAGUGGCGAAGGCGGCCGGCUGGACGUAAACUGACGUUGAGGCGCGAAAGCGUGGGGAGCAAACAGGAUUAGAUCCCCCUGAGUC
rnacentral:rRNA from 1 species